UACGAAGGGGGCUAGCGUUGCUCGGAAUCACUGGGCGUAAAGCGCACGUAGGCGGCUUUUUACGUCAGAGGUGAAAUCCUGGAGCUCAACUCCAGAACUGCCUUUGAUACUGAGAGGCUUGAGUCCGGGAGAGGUGAGUGGAACUGCGAGUGUAGAGGUGAAAUUCGUAGAUAUUCGCAAGAACACCAGUGGCGAAGGCGGCUCACUGGCCCGGUACUGACGCUGAGGUGCGAAAGCGUGGGGAGCAAACAGG
rnacentral:rRNA from 1 species